rnacentral:rRNA from 1 species
CCUACGGGCGGCAGCAGUGAGGAAUAUUUGUCAAUGGGCUGGAGCCUGAACCAGCCAAGCCGCGUGAAGGAAGAAGUCGCCAGGCGUCGUAAACUUCUUUUGUCGGGGAACAAAGGGCGCCACGCGUGGCGUUGUGAGUGUACCCGAAGAAAAAGCAGCGGCAAACUCCGUGCCAGCAGCCGCGGUAAUACGGAGGAUGCGAGCGGUAUCCGGAUUUAUUGGGUUUAAGGGGUGCGUAGGCUGAACGGAAAUUCAGCGGGAAAAGCCCGGGGCUAAACCCCGGCCAGCCGUUGAACCUGUCGAACUAGAGACGGCGAGAAGUACGCGGAAUG